GAGGGUGUAGCUCAAUGGUAGAGCAUCGGUCUCCAAAACCGAGGGUCGUAGGUUCGAUUCCUACCACCUUUG
rnacentral:tRNA from 1 species